rnacentral:rRNA from 1 species
ACCAGACUCCUACGGGAGGCAGCAGUGGGGGAUAUUGCACAAUGGGGGGAACCCUGAUGCAGCGACGCCGCGUGGGUGAAGAAGCGCCUCGGCGCGUAAAGCCCUGUCAGCAGGGAAGAAAAUGACGGUACCUGAAGAAGAAGCCCCGGCUAACUACGUGCCAGCAGCCGCGGUAAUACGUAGGGGGCAAGCGUUAUCCGGAUUUACUGGGUGUAAAGGGGGCGCAGACGGCGAUGCAAGCCAGGAGUGAAAGCCCGGGGCCCAACCCCGGGACUGCUCUUGGAACUGCGUGGCUGGAGUGCAGGAGGGGCAGGCGGAAUUCCUAGUGUAGCGGUGAAAUGCGUAGAUAUUAGGAAGAACACCGGUGGCGAAGGCGACUUUCUGGACUGUAACUGACGUUGAGGCACGAAAGUGUGGGGAGCAAACAGGAUUAGAUACCCCAGUACAU